rnacentral:rRNA from 4 species
CCUGGUGAUCGGAGCGGUCUGGUACCACCUGAAUCCAUUCCGAACUCAGAAGUGAAACGGAUCAGCGGCGACGAUAGUUGUGGGGCAACUCACCGCGAAAAUAGCUCAUCGCCAGGA